GUUGCGAAAUCAAAUUAUCAUAGUUAAAAAUGAAGGUUAACUUGUUUCUUUUGUCGAUAAUUCUUUUCGUGUACUGAUUGAUCGAUUCGAAAGAAUUUGUAUGCGAAGAUGGAGUUCUCUACAAGGAGAAUCAUUGCAAUGAUUGCAGUUGUAGCAAAGGAAAGUUGUUGUGCACGCUGAUGUAUUGCGAAUCCUCCACUGAAUGGCACAACUGUACGGCCGGAACCACAGGUACGGAAAAGUGUAAUUCGUGCGUCUGUGCUGACAGGUUAGGAUGGAUCUGCAUAGACUACAACUGCGGCAAAGUAGUGUGGAAUAGUUACCAUUUUAACGGUAACGCCCAUGUGGUAUCUCCAUUUUCAAGUUUAAUAAUAUUGUUAAUAACAUUCACUGAUAAAUUGUACAGUUUGUUUACAGUGAAUGUGCACUGUACGUAUUCUAAUAAUAA